CUUCAUAGGCUGCUCACAUUAGGCAGUAGUCAGUCCAAGUCAGCACACAGCAUGGACAUGAGGACCCCUGCUCAGCUCCUGGGGAUCCUGCUGCUCUGGCUCCCAGGUGUCAAGUGUGACAUCCAGAUGACCCAGUCUCCAUCUUCACUGUCUGUGUCUCUAGGAGACACUGCCACCAUCACCUGCAGGGCCAGUGAGGACAUUGGGUAUGUUUUAGCCUGGUACCAGCAGCAACCAGGAAAAGCUCCUAAACCCUUGAUCUUUGAUGCAGAUAGUUUGGCGACCGGAGUUCCAUCAAGGUUCAGUGGCAGUGGAUCUGGGACAGAGUUCACUCUCGCCAUCAGCAACCUGCAGCCUGAAGAUGCCGCAACAUAUUUCUGUCUACAGAGUGAUAGUUAUCCCCCCACAGUGACACAAGUCAUAACAAAAACCUCCCAGAGAAGCAGAAGAUCAAGUGGAGAUGUGAUAAACCAGACUCCAGUCUCCCUGCCUGUCACGCUGGGAGAUCCAGCCUCCAUCGCCAACAGGUCUAGUCAGAGUCUCCUGCAUAGCGAUGGAGACACUUAUCUGAAUUUUUACCUGCAGAAGCCAGGCCGGUCUCCACAACUCCUGAUAUACACAAUUUCUAACUGA